AUUUCUUUGAAUUUCAUUUCCCUAGACUACUCACUAGUACCUUGUAGCAAAUUCCAAAGCUGGGAUUUUGGUAUCCCCUUAAUUCAUUUCAAGCAUUUAUUAGGUAUCUACUGUAGUAUUUUAGAAAUAUAUAUAUAAUCACACAGCACACUGUUGUAGGUUAGAGGUAGGUAGUUCUGGUCAGGACGAUACUUUGUAACUUUUCCGAGAUAGGGCUCAGAUGUUCCCAUUAAACCUCCGCAGCCAAGAAGCUGUGAUGGCGGCCAUCUUGGAAGAGGGCGCCUGCAGGCAUCCGCGCAGGAGGAAUCACCUGUGUAGGGGGAGUGAAGUCAGCGCGACGCCAUGUGCAUUUCGGGCACUAUUCGGCUUCCGGUGGCUGCAGCCUCUGAGACAAUUUCUCACGGCCUUGGUCCAGCGUCGGUCCCCUCUUUGCCUCUGCCUGGGACGAGGAUCUCGGAUCUCGCACCCGGGCCUCGUUCCUGACUCCCGAAGGCGGAGGCACGAGCUCUGGAGGGGGUGGGGCAGAGGCGGGGCAGCAGGUCGCGCACGCGCACACGCUCGCGCGCUCCUCGGAGCUGGGAGGGAGCCAGCUCUCCGGGAAAGCCCCGGGCUGAACGAGUACUAGAGGCCGCCCCGGGGACGAUGAGCGGGGCCGGGCUGGGGGCGAGGGGCCCCGUGAGCUUCGCCGAUGUGGCCGUGUACUUCUCCCCGGAGGAGUGGGGACGGCUGCGCCCCGCGCAGAGGGCCCUGUACCGGGACGUCAUGCGGGAGACCUACGGCCACCUGGGCGCGCUGGGAUUCCCAGGCCCCAAACCUGCCCUUAUCUCCUGGAUGGAACAAGAGACAGAGGCCUGGGGUCCGGCCGCCCAGGACCCGGAGGAGUGGGGGGGAGAUGUGAGAACAGCUUGCAGAGCAGGAAACUGGAACAUAAACAAGGAGAAAUGGAAGAAAGAAGAGCCUCAAGCCAGGGACCCUUUGGACAUGCAUGUGAGAGGCCAACUACUCGAACCUGGCAUCAAACUCAACACACAUCACUCAACACUCAACACAGACUCAACACACAAUGGAUCCUUGGAACUACCAUCCAAGGCUGACUUCAACAAGACUUUACCUCAGCCCCCUAUCCCAAAACCCAACUUGGACACUCAGGCUAGCCAGCGGCGCCAUGCCUGUCCUGAUUGUGGACGCCGCUUCACCUAUCCCUCCCUGCUGGUCAGUCACAGGCGAAUGCACUCUGGUGAACGGCCCUUUCCUUGUCCUGAGUGUGGAAUGCGCUUCAAGCGGAAGUUUGCUGUUGAAGCCCAUCAGUGGAUCCAUCGAUCUUGCUCUGGGGGACGGAGGGGUCGUCGGCCUGGGAUACGGGCUGUGCCACUUGCCCCUGUUCGGGGUGACCGUGACCCUCCUGUGCUAUUCCGGCACUACCCAGACAUCUUUGAGGAGUGUGGAUGACCUACUUCACUGGGGAUGGGGGAGAAGUGAUUGGAGAGGAGCUGAAGGUCUAAGCAUGGUCAGAGUGCUAGAGCCUUGACAAACUCAUUUGAAUAGAUGAGGCUGAAACUGUUGCAACUGUCCUUCCAACAGAAGAAUGAUAAAGGGAGCAGAGACUGUUGGGAAGAUUAAUCUGGAAAUAGUAUGCUGGAAUCACACUGGAAGGGAUGUCAAAUCCUACCAAGGAGACUGAAAAAUGAUUUUGCAAUCAACACACCACUGGUGACCUUGAAGAAGAAGCAGUUUCAUUGAGUGGUAGGUAUAGGAAUCUUAUUUCUGGAAGUUAAGAAUAGGUUGCAAAGUAGAGGCAUUGAGUAUAAAGUGCUCAUGUGAGAAGUUUGGCAGUGAAAGAAAUAGAGGGUCUACUACCAGGGUUAACAUACAGGUCUUUUCCUAUAAUAAGUGACAUAUAUAUAGUAUUUGUUUGCAAAGUAUUUUGCAUAUAUUACCUGAUUUGAUCUUCACAACAACCCUGUGAGG